UCCUUUGACAAAUGCUCAGUGACAUAUUGGCUGUUAGUUUUAAAGCCCCGCCCAUUUCCCCCGGUAAAACCAUUUUGGUUGAUGGCUGUCAUGUUUUUCAACCAAUCUUGCUGAAAUUUUGCAGACACAUGCUAGUCAGACUACUAAAGGCUGAGUGACUCAAGGACCCUCCAGGCCUUCCCAGACUCAACAGAGAGAGACACAAAAUGUGCAGUGGAGCUGAGGUCUUUCAGUGGACUCCUUCUCCACAGGAUUAGAGCAGCAGACAGAGAAUGGUGGAAUCAUGGCUUCUGUGAUGUCGAAGGCAUCUACAAGCUCCUGGAUGAGAAAAAGAUCACAAUCAAGAACAGUGUCUGGCUCAAGAUGUGCGUGAUAGCUGCAAACAAACAUUAUAGGAGGUAUAAGAGGUAUUGUGUUGCAUCAGGCCAAGACGUGUUCACCUUCCAUGACUUUGGGCUGAUAGAAAUAAUGCACUGAUUUUGUCUGCUUGAUCCUCCAGCUUCCAUUUCCAUUUCUUCUACAGGAGCUGAAACACAACAAGAAAAUAACCUAGUAAUGUACAGUAAAUAAGAUAAAUUAUAUUUUUUUGAAACUGAGACAAAUCAGUAGUAUGGACUUACCGAUACAAGGCAACUUGGAACUAUCCAAACACAUCUGUGCCAAACCAUCCUGUAACCCAAGAAAACGUCAGUACAGACAAGCAGGCUUAUGUUUCAAUGCUUCUACAAAAUCAAACUCACCCUGAUAAGGAAAGACGUGUGGAAAAUGUUUUCUACUGUCCGUGAAAAUGAGUUGGGGUCAAUAACAAACUCGUAAUAUGAUAUUGGCGACGAUGCUGUGAUUAAAGAAGAGUUGUGGUAUACAAACAAUAUAUAUUUACACAAGGAUAAGGUGGUCUGCUUUAAAACUCACGAUCGUCUUGAUGGUAACUCUUCAAGCAGGCCAGGAUCCUUUCCACCUCUUUUUCUGUGGCCUCUUGCUGGGACUCUUCCAUUUUUUUCAACUGGCAAUGCAAUAC